rnacentral:rRNA from 1 species
GAUGAACGCUGGCGGCGUGCCUAAUACAUGCAAGUCGAGCGAACAGACGAGGAGCUUGCUCCUCUGACGUUAGCGGCGGACGGGUGAGUAACACGUGGAUAACCUACCUAUAAGACUGGGAUAACUUCGGGAAACCGGAGCUAAUACCGGAUAAUAUAUUGAACCGCAUGGUUCAAUAGUGAAAGACGGUUUUGCUGUCACUUAUAGAUGGAUCCGCGUCGCAUUAGCUAGUUGGUAAGGUAACGGCUUACCAAGGCAACGAUGCGUAGCCGACCUGAGAGGGUGAUCGGCCACACUGGAACUGAGACACGGUCCAGACUCCUACGAGAGGCAGCAGUAGGGAAUCUUCCGAAAGGGGCGAAAGCCUGACAGAGCAACGCCGCGUGAGUGAUGAAGGUCUUCGGAUCGUAAAACUCUGUUAUUAGGGAAAAACAAAUGUGUAAGUAACUAUGCACGUCUUGACGAUACCUAAUCAGAAAGCCACGGCUAACUACG